rnacentral:rRNA from 1 species
GACGAACGCUGGCGGCGUGCCUAAUACAUGCAAGUCGAACGAGUUGCGGACGGGUGAGUAAUGUCUGGGAAACUGCCCGAUGGAGGGGGAUAACUACUGGAAACGGUAGCUAAUACCGCAUACCAUCGGAUGUGCCAAGAUGGGAUUAGCCAGUAUGUGGGGUAACGGCUCACCUCUGCGACGAUCCCUAGCUGGUCCGGGAUGAUGACCAGCCACACUGGAACUAGGACACGGUCCCGACUCAGACGGGAGGCGGCAGUGGGGAGUAUUGCACAAUGGGCGCAAGCCUGAUGCAGCCAUGCCGCGUGUAUGAAGAGGGCCUUCGGGUUGUAAAGUACUUUCAGCGAGGAGGCGUUACUCGCAGAAGAAGCACCGGCUAACUCCGUGCCAGCAGCCGCGGUAAUAC